CAAGGUUAAAUAAAAACGUGUUAAUUGAAGGCAUCGGUAGAGAGAAGGAGGACGUAGGCAUUAAGAUUUACAGCUUAUGCUUAGAGCCUGCAGAGAAUUAAACAACGUAACUGUAUUUCCCUUGGGUAUAUCAUAUAAAAGCCAAAACAAUUUAAUAUGGCUCCCAAGAUCCAGCCUAGGAGAUCAGGCGGGAACGUUACAGGAGAAGCAGGCAAACUGGAUACAUUUCUAAAAUCACCUAAAGAAACAAUAAAAACUAGAAC